UGCUUAUCAACAUCUUGAGUCAUUAAUCUCCACAGUCCUCAAGCCCUGAGGAACAGGCUGUUCUCUGAGCAGAUGGUUUUUCAUCAUGGCUUGACUGGACGAAUACAGCUGCUGAUUGUCAGACAUGAAUGAUCACUGAGACAGGGCUGGACCCAGAGGAAACCUGUAUUGCAUAGAAGUUUAUCUGUCAUUGCUCAGCAGAUUGUGUAUGGAGUUAUCAGUCGUGGUUGAUCGAUCAACUUUCUUUCAGAUGUUGCUGGCAUACGAUGACCUAAGAAAGGCUACAUUAUUCCUCCCAGACAUCAUAACACAAGAAACAAGAGACAUCAUAAAAACCAACCGUCUGCAGAGACAAGAGUGGUCUGGAGGUCAAGAGUGUUGCCGACACUGUUGAGUGACUGAACAACCGUCACCAUUCACACACCGUCAACAAACACACACUCAUGUCUACCUGAGCACCAACGCUGAGUCACUGAGUUUCCCUGAGGAUAACAUGGUCUCGCCACCACCAGGCUUGGCCGUCCGUUCACCAUAGAGUGUCCCGGCAAACAGGAACUGGUUCAGUGGAGCAUCGUGUUCAUGUGGAAUCCAGCACGUUGUCAAAGCUCCAUCAGCCCAACAUGAGCAGGAUGAGGCGAAGUGACGUUCUGCGAGAUUAGUAUGGAUAAAUCGGAAUUCUGUGGGUGAAUGUAAAACAAUUUUCACGUGAAGGUGAAGAGUGAGGAAGAGAAAAAGAAUAAGUGCCGAACAGGAAGAAGAGAAGGACUAGACAAGUUAGUCAAGACAAACUUUGGUUUUCAAGAGCAAAAACCUUGUCUGGAAGUAAAGAAAGUUACAAAAAAUUACCUCACUUGACUGCAUUUUAUAAAUGCAAGCAGAAGAUCAUUCAUCCUUAUUACACAAUGUGAAAUUAAGUCAUUCAAUUUGACUUUUUAAUCAAUUUGCCAUCUUGGGAAUAGCUCAGAAAUACUAUUUCUAGUCAUACAAAUAAAGAUUCUUUCUGCCAUCUAUUUUAAUGGAGAAAGACCAAAAUAUCCAAAACUCAGACGAUCUGAGUGUUUUCUUUUCUCCUAUUCAUUUUUGGCUGGACAAAGUCAGAACUUAAUAAGUGAGACCAUUAUAAUAUAUACUGCAAAAAGAGAAUCUACAUGAAUAGUGUAUUUUAGAUAUAUGGAAGAAGUUGUUUUUGUCCUUUAUAUACUAAUUGCAGUAACAUCUGGCAUUUGAACAGUAAUUUAGCCCAUCUAUGUGACUCAACAGUUUCUGGCUAAUAUUUGUGUUUGUCUACAGAGACUCCAUGGAAACAUAUCUAUUACGUUUAAAAGAAAUCUGGUACAAACAUCCCCUAAAAGGGUUGACAAUGUCUCGCAGGCUUUAUCCCUCUGACUGUAAAUGUUCUCCCACCUGGUCCUGGCGGAACAUGAGAUGAGAAUAUCUCAACCACAAUGUACCACAAGUGAGAAGUGAUGACAGAAAAUUGAUAUCACUUUUAUAUAACUGUUUCAUAUUAUGGAAGUGAAGGUUCUCAAGUGUAGUUCGCAGUGUAAUGUGCAGAGACUAAGGGCCUUGUCCCAAAUGGCACACAUCAAAUGCAUUUACGGUCUUGUGGACUUACAUUGGCUGCUGCUUGCGCAUGUCUGUAAAGUCCAUGAGACUGUAGGGUGUCCUAUUUGUCAUUUUAGGUUUCAGAAGAAUGGGCCCUCGAUGCGCUCUUUUGCUGAGCCUGAAGCGAACUCCGCAGCAGACUUCUUCCCGACAGUCAAAGCAACGUUACGUCAUGAAAGUGCGGAUUCGUAUGAAGAUCAUGAGUGCUUUAGGUGCCAUUUGGGACAAGGUCAAGGAAGCCAUUUUUAGGGUGAUAUACCUGAAAUCACUGCACUGCUGUUUGAGCAUUUUAAACAGUGGAGAGAGUGCAAUUUAAAUGCAGCUUAAGCUCUAGCGAAAUUUGUCUCCUGCUGUCUGCAUAAAACAAAGUCAACUCAUUCUUCAAUUUGCAUACAAUUUUGAAAUUACAAUGAACGAGAAGUUGUUUAAUUUUAAGGGUUAGUUCACCCAAAAAUUAUAAUUCUGUCAUCAAUUACUAACCCUCAUGUUGUUCUGAACCCAUAAAGCUUUUGUUAAUUUUUCGUUUUUUAUUUUUAUUUUUAACACUUUUUGUUAUGUUGGUUGAAAAUCUUCUGUGGUAGUCUUAGGACCAAACAAUAUUCAUCCAAUCAUUGCAUUUGGUCCGAAUUCUAUGAUACAAUGUCCUACCUGCCUGUCAGCAUAUAUUUUCCAUACCUCCGCGCACCCUGCUCACGCAGACAUCACACGUCAUCAGCGCUUUUUGUAAGGCUAUUCAGAGUUGUAGACAGACGUCAGUCACUGAGCGCCACAAACAAACAGCAGCCAUCUUUAACAGUACUCGGAGCCGUUCACAUCCUCAGACUCGGAUUUAUGCUUUUCUUUAUCAACACUAUCAAUGCCAAAAUUAAUCUGCAGCAGUCAGGUGGUACAAGUAAGAGCUCUGUAAGUUGUUUAUGUUCAUAAUUAUUGCAAUGUAAUGUGCUUCGAGACAUAAGGUAAUUUAACGCCAUCUCUCAACUUGUGAUCGUUAGCAGACUCUGCUGUGUGCGUUCAUUUGAUUCGAAGGAGGCGUGGCUUUGGAGACACUCUGAAGGGAGGGUGGGAUCUUGCUUUUACUAGCCUCUCUGAAAUUGCCUACCCUACCUUUAAUCUUCGGAACACAAAUGAGGAUAUUUUUAAUGUAAUCUAAGAGAUCAAGGAAGUACAUCAAGUACGACUAUAUUUGAGUGCUCUAUGUACUGUAUGUUUACUGAUCAGUGUUUAUAUGUGAAUAAAAGCCAAAAUUAAAUCUCUUAAUAAUAUGAAGUGAUCGUGUCUCUUAAACCACUUAAUUCAUAUGGGUUUAUUUUACAAUCUCUUUAUGAACGUUUUGAAGUGUUUUGGGUGAAUAGACUUUCAAUGGAGGGACAGAAAUCUUCAUUCAUUAAAAAUAUUUUCAUUUGUGUUUUAAAAGAUGAACAAAUUGAUGUAAUUGAUGACAGUAUUUUAAUUUUUGGGAGAACUACCCCUUUAAACUUCUUUCAAAAAUGAUGGUCUUUGGGGAUUAGGAUAAUCUAAUAGUCAUUUCUAGUCAAAUUGCAUACAGUGAUGUCAGAAUUUUGCAUGAUAAAUGAUAGUUAUUCUGCUCUUUUGUGUAGCCAGCCAUUCUCACAGACUCUACAUUCACAGAACUCUAGGAACAACAGAGACUCCUCCAGUGAUUUAAUGGUCAAUGAAUGUGUGACUCUGCCCAGAUGUGAAAAGGAAAGAGUUGGAUGACAAAGCUGAACAAACUUGCAGCUGGCAUUGAGAGUUUUAUAAUGAGUCGCAUGCCUAGACAUGGACAGCACUGGACAUCAGUUCCUGUAAAUGAAUGUUUGUAGGCCUCAUAGUUCUAAAUCAUUUUUUGUAGCCAGCAGCUAUUUCCCUUUUUACUCAGUGACUUCCAGAAUCACCUAGGCUAGACGAAAACAUGCACCAGCAAUAUCACAUAUUUUCCAUCCAUAAAAAAAAAAAAAAAAAAAAAAAACUCAAGGCAUGAUGGGUAAGCACUAUGUCCAGAAAUGCUCUGCUCUCUUUUCUCUUUAUUCAGCAUGGAAGAUAAAUCUUUAGCUAAGCAAAUUAAAAAACAUAAGGGCUAAGGGAAAAGAAAGCACAUUUUUUACAUGUGUAUUUUAAAGUACACCAAAAACUGUUGAAAUGAAUGAAAUACAGUUUGAAAUGACUUUUGUUAUUUGAUUGUAAUCCAAGUUUUAAAAAAAAAAAAAUCUGCUAAAGUAUAAAAUGCAUGCAAUCUCGGCUGUUAUUUUGAUCAUAAGUCAUGAAGUAUUUUGAUAUUAAGGCCUUUUGUUUCUAAAACUGUAAAUGUUGAGUUUAUUAAAACAAUUAAACUUUAAAAUAUCUUUAAUUAGUAUACAUUAUGUAAAACUUUAAUAUAUUUCCACAUAUUUAUAUUAGAAUCUAUAUGAUAGAUAGAUAGAUAGAUAGAUAGAUAGAU